GCUUUCUGCUAUAAUGUAAACGCCUGCAGUUGUCCAUAUCGACAUGUAAAUCAUACAAAUUACGUACAAUGUCGCUGGACCGCAGGUCUAAAAGAACCGACGAUCCGGUUCAAAUAAACCGGUUCAUCAAUUCUCGGACAAAGUGAUUCCCGGAAAAGAAUCGACGUCUCAGGGCCUCGAUACAUUUCAAAGUGCGCGCACGCACAGCGAGUGACGUAGGCCGCGUUAGUGAGGUGAUGUUUGAUGCCUGUGUGGUUUAUAAAGUCUUUUUACAUACGUAAAUAAAGGUUUUUGGUAAGUCAUAAUUCAAAAUGUUGUUUUUUUCUUGUCAGAAGAGCACAUGGAUACAUUUGUGAGAGAAAAACUCGUUGAAUGCAGUCUUAUCGAGACGUCUAACGGUUGGAACAAACGUGGAAUUCCUUAACCGAGCAGAGUCCACAAAACCCCAUCCAUUUGUCAUGGCAAUUUGAAAAUGCCAGCAGAUCUAUCAGACAUUGAUCAUAAUCAAUGGACAGGUCACCGUAGCCACCCAGAUCCAGUCUGUAUCCAGAUCAGAUGGUGGAGAGAUGACCUCUACAGCCCUGAAAGACAGCGGAGACCAGGACAACUAGAUGAGCCCCAGAGACAGAUCCCCUGUAAAGACCUUGUCUCCUAGACGGACAUCGGCACAAGUCAUCGGGAACCAGAUGAGUCCACUGCACAAUCUGACUCUGCUGCAGCCUGGAAUUGAACCGCUGGUUUGGUCUGGCCAGAGGAGAACUUGCCCCCCAACUGAGCCUGAUUUCUCCCAAGGUUUUUUCUCAAUUCUAUCACCGAUGGAGUUUUGGUUCCUUGCCGCUGUUGCCUCUGGCUUGCUUAGCUGGGGACACUUAAUAUCCAGCGAUAUCGUCUACUUGAAUGCAC
ensembl:lncRNA